UGCUCCUAGUACGAGAGGACCGGAGUGGACGCAUCACUGGUGUUCGGGUUGUCAUGCCAAUGGCACUGCCCGGUAGCUAAAUGCGGAAGAGAUAAGUGCUGAAAGCAUCUAAGCACGAAACUUGCCCCGAGAUGAGUUCUCCCUGACUUCUUGAGAGUCCUGAAGGAACGUUGAAGACGACGACGUUGAUAGGCCGGGUGUGUAAGCGCAGCGAUGCGUUGAGCUAACCGGUACUAAUGAACCGUGAGGCUUAACCUUACAACGCCGAAGGUGUUU
rnacentral:rRNA from 1 species